GGGGAUGAUUUGGUUUCGACGGGAAUAGCCAGAGCAUGGACUGCAGGUCGAGUGACUACGUAAUAGUCAAAAAGCAAUAAAUGCAAACAAAUUAAAAAAUGCUGUAGCAAACUUCUUUGGUGGACGCCAAGCUGUUGCUUACGCUCUUUAAUAAUAAGAAUAGAGCCAGCUCUUCUACUUAACUUUUACCCAGAAGUUAUUUAGAGGAUCAUUUUAAUGGGUUAUAGCUAUCUUUUGUCUAGAAGAUAGAAAGAAUUCAUAGACUGGUAUAUUAUCUUUGUCGUUAACUACUUGGAUAGUAUAUAAGAUUAUUUAGUUAACUAUGUCUGUAGACGUUUAUGUAGCUUUAUUUUCGGACAGGAGUUCGAUUCUCCUCAUCUCCACCA
rnacentral:tmRNA from 1 species